AUACGGAGGGUGCAAGCGUUACUCGGAAUCACUGGGCGUAAAGCGCGCGCAGGCGGCUAUUUAAGUUGGAUGUGAGAGCCUACGGCUCAACCGUAGAACUGCAUCCAAAACUAUUUAGCUAGAGUGUGGGAGAGGAAGAUGGAAUUAGUUGUGUAGGGGUAAAAUCCGUAGAGAUAACUAGGAAUACCAAAAGCGAAGGCAAUCUUCUGGAACACUACUGACGCUGAGGCGCGAAAGCGUGGGGAGCAAACAGGAUUAGAUACCCUAGUAGUCC
rnacentral:rRNA from 1 species